rnacentral:tRNA from 1 species
CGCGGGGUGGAGCAGAGGUAGCUCGUGAGGCUCAUAACCUCAAGGUCGAAGGUUCGAUUCCUUCCCCCGCAACCA